AACGAACGCUGGCGGCAUGCCUAACACAUGCAAGUCGAACGAGACCUUCGGGUCUAGUGGCGCACGGGUGCGUAACGCGUGGGAAUCUGCCCUAGGGUGCGGAAUAACUCGGAGAAAUCCGUGCUAAUACCGCAUAAUGUCUUCGGACCAAAGAUUUAUCGCCCUGGGAUGAGCCCGCGUUGGAUUAGCUAGUUGGUGGGGUAAAAGCCUACCAAGGCGACGAUCCAUAGCUGGUCUGAGAGGAUGAUCAGCCACACUGGGACUGAGACACGGCCCAGACUCCUACGGGAGGCAGCAGUGGGGAAUAUUGGACAAUGGGGGAAACCCUGAUCCAGCAAUGCCGCGUGAGUGAUGAAGGCCCUAGGGUUGUAAAGCUCUUUUACCCGGGAUGAUAAUGACAGUACCGGGAGAAUAAGCUCCGGCUAACUCCGUGCCAGCAGCCGCGGUAAUACGGAGGGAGCUAGCGUUGUUCGGAAUUACUGGGCGUAAAGCGCGCGUAGGCGGCGAACCAAGUCAGAGGUGAAAUCCCGGGGCUCAACCCCGGAACUGCCUUUGAAACUGGUU
rnacentral:rRNA from 1 species